GGGGAUAUGGCUCAGUUUGUAGAGUGCUUGCCUUAUAUGCACAAAGCCCUGGGUUCAAUUCCCUGCACCAUCA
rfam:Ictidomys tridecemlineatus contig116045, whole genome shotgun sequence.